rnacentral:misc_RNA from 1 species
GAUGAAGAACGUAGCGAAAUGCGAUAAGUAAUGUGAAUUGCAGAAUUCAGUGAAUCAUCGAAUCUUUGAACGCACAUUGCGCCCCCUGGUAUUCCGGGGGGCAUGCCUGUCCGAGCGUCAUUACUGCCCUCAAGCGCGGCUUGUGUGUUGGGCCCUCGUCCCCCCCGGGGGACGUGCCCGAAAGGCAGUGGCGGCGCCGUGCCCGGACCUCGAGCGUAUGGGCUUUGUCACCCGCUCUGGAGACCCGGCCGGCGGCCGUCGGAGCACCCCAACCUUUUUAACCGGUUGACCUCGGAUCAGGCAGGGAUACCCGCUGAACUUAAGCAUAUCAAUAAGCGGAGGA